rnacentral:rRNA from 1 species
CCUACGGGAGGCAGCAGUGAGGAAUAUUGGUCAAUGGCCGAAAGGCUGAACCAGCCAAGCCGCGUGAAGGACGAAGGUGCCAAGCAUUGUAAACUUCUUUUGUCAAGGGACAAAAUCAGGCUCGCGAGCCUGACCGAGGUUACUUGCAGAAAAAGCAUCGGCUAACUCCGUGCCCGCAGCCGCGGUAAUACGGGGGAGGCGAGCGUUAUCCGGAUUUAUUGGGCUUAAAGUGUGCGUAGGCGGGCUAUUAAGUCAGCGGUAAACGCCCGGGGCUCAACCCCGGCGAGCCGUUGAAACUGGCUGUCGUGAGAGGGCGAGAGGUAGGCGGAAUGCGCAGUGUAGCGGUGAAAUGCGUAGAUAGUGCGCAGAACUCCGAUGGCGAAGGCAGCAUACCGGCGGCGAUCUGACGCUGAGGCACGAAAGCGUGGGUAUCGAACAGGAUGAGAUACCCCGGUAGUC